GGUGAAAGAAGAUGAGUGGGAGGAGCUCAGCUCUGACAUCGCUGCACUGCAUCGACUCCAAGGACUGUCUAAACACAUGUUUGAUGAAAGCUUUAUGAACACCUCAACAACCAGGGGAAACGACUACCACCAAUCAAGAUUUGGAAGAUCUGUGAAAAGGCUGGACACUGAAGAAAACCCGCUCACUUUGCUGGAUGGAUUUCAGGACUGUGAAAACGUCACAGCUCAUGUCAUUACGAAGG